GUAUGGGGCUCAGGGAGGAUCAUGGCCAGCUCCCGGCCUAUUUCACAGGGUUAGUUGUCUCAUGGGUCUAUGUUAUGUCCCCGCAGCAGGACUGUCUUUGCUGGUGUGUGUGUGGGCCUUCUCUGCCUGUGUAACAACUAAUGACUCCCCACCAGCCCAGCACAGUCCUGCACUGAGCCCCGCAGAGUCUUUGUGUGUGUAUGUGUGUGUGUGUGUGUGUGUAGUGUUGGGGAUUUAAACCAGGACCUUGAACAUGCGGGGCAACUGCUCUACCACUGAGUUACACCUCCUGCCCCUGGCUGUUUUUUUCUUUUUCUUUCUUUCUUUUUUUGAGGGGAUGGGGUAGGGGGAGUACCGGGAUUGAACUCAUGGACACAUGACCACUGAGCCACAUCUCCAGCCCUUUGUAUUUUAGAGACAGAGAUUCACUGAAUUGCUUAGUGCCUCGCAGUUGCUGAGGCUGGCUUUGAACUCGCAAUCCUCCUGCCUCAGCCUCCCAAGCCACUGGGAUUAUAGGCAUACGCCACUGUACCAGCUGGCUGUUUUUUGUAGGAGGCAGUCUUGCUAUACUGCUUAAAUUGGCCCCAAAUCCCCAGGCUUAGGUGAUCCUUCAGUCUCAGCCUCCCCCAGAUUCUUGUUCCAGGUCAUGGGCUCAUGGAAGGCUUCCAGUACCUCAGGAGGUCCUCAGCAUUUGGGGAUGGGGGGCAGAUCCCAGGCCUGCUGCUACCUGCCUCCUCUCCUCAGUUAGGGAGGUGACCUGAGUGAGUCUCUGUGUUAUUUGGGGGCCUGUGCUAUUUAUGAGAGUGAAGCAAGGAGCCUUGGGUUUACCUGGACAUGUAGGAAGCACUACUGUGGAGCUGCUCACAGCUUCGGAGGGCCGGUGGGGGCUCAGGGUGAGGCAUUGUUUUUUGUUUUAUACCAGAUCUGUUUAUAGCCUGUCUCUGGCUCAUCCUCCACAGCUGUUUUGAAAACACCUUUAGUCCAUAAAAUGUGGAAAUUGCAUCUGAGCCUCAAGCUGAGUCAUGUCUUUGAACCAGCUCUCAACUGGAUGGCAGUUUUUUUUUUUUUUUGGCCAGGCCUGGGGUGUGGCUGGCUCUGUG
rnacentral:lncRNA from 1 species